GCUCUUGGAUCGAAUAUGCGAAGAAGGAAGAUGAGGUUCUCACUGCGACCCCUGCCACGUGCUAACACGAGUUCGUGGUCCUACGUCCAAUGUUCGCGCGUUCUGCUGGGCCCUGAAAAUGAUGCCCAACAAACAGGCCAUACUGCAGAUAAUGAAACGAGAACGAGAAGCUGCCAAAGAACCCACAAUUCCUGACACCGUUGUGUAUGCAAUCAGUGGGAUCGUCGUAGUUCUGUUUGUUAUCAGCCUGGUGUAUAUGGCUUACGUCAUGAUCUCUGAAGGAAGCUCUGUCAAGUGAACUGCACCACCACACCCCAAAUACGCCGACUUUUAAUGACAUGCAUGUUUCGGAUGAAUGAAGAAUGUAAUCAUUUCCGGUGGCCGCCUAUGAGUUUAUGCACCUUGCGAAUUAAGAGCAGAAUAAAGGAUUCACAUUGAUGCA